rnacentral:misc_RNA from 1 species
GGAAGUAAAAGUCGUAACAUGGUUUCCGUAGGUGAACCUGCGGAAGGAUCAUUCAUAAUAAGUGUUCUACUGCACUUUUUAAAAAUAGUACUCACCUUGUGUGCAAUGUUUGUUAGACUCUUUCGGGAGUCUGACAUUUAUACCAACCUUUUAUAUUUUGAACCACUUUGUCUGUAAAAUAUUAUGAAUACUUAAUUCUAAAUACAACUUUCAACAACGGAUCUCUUGGCUCUC